GAAAUUGGUGACCUCACCCUGAACAAGCCCGAUCCUGUCUGAUCUUGGAAGCUAAGCAGAGUCUGGCCUGGUUAGUACUUGGAUAGGAGAACACCUAGGAAGACCAGGUGCUCU
rnacentral:rRNA from 1 species